GACGAACGCUGGCGGCGUGCCUAAUACAUGCAAGUCGAGCGGACUUGCUGGAGCUUGCUCCAGCAGGUUAGCGGCGGACGGGUGAGUAACACGUGGGCAACCUGCCUGUAAGACUGGGAUAACUCCGGGAAACCGGAGCUAAUACCGGAUAGUAUCUUGAACCGCAUGGUUCAAGUUGGAAAGACGGUUUCGGCUGUCACUUACAGAUGGGCCCGCGGCGCAUUAGCUAGUUGGUGAGGUAAUGGCUCACCAAGGCAACGAUGCGUAGCCGACCUGGGAGGGUGAUCGGCCACACUGGGACUGAGACACGGCCCAGACUCCUACGGGAGGCAGCAGUAGGGAAUCUUCCGCAAUGGACGAAAGUCUGACGGAGCAACGCCGCGUGAGUGAUGAAGGUUUUCGGAUCGUAAAACUCUGUUGUUAGGGAAGAACAAGUGCGAGAGUAACUGCUCGCACCUUGACGGUACCUAACCAGAAAGCCACGGCUAACUACGUGCCAGCAGCCGCCGUAAAAC
rnacentral:rRNA from 1 species